CGACCGGCGCACGGGUGAGUAACACGUAUGCAACCUGCCCUCCGCAGGGGGAUAACCCGGAGAAAUCCGGACUAAUACCGCGUGGUACAUCUGUGGGGCAUCCCACGGGUGUUAAAAGGAAGCGAUUCCGGCGGAGGAUGGGCAUGCGGCGCAUUAGCUAGUUGGCGGGGUAACGGCCCACCAAGGCGACGAUGCGUAGGGGUUCUGAGAGGAAGGUCCCCCACACUGGUACUGAGACACGGACCAGACUCCUACGGAAGGCAGCAG
rnacentral:rRNA from 1 species